AGGGCUGUGCAGAAUGUGCUUUGUUAAACAAGUGCUUGAAGGCAGUAUGCUUGGUAAAAGUCAUCGCCAUUCUCUAAUCUUGAGUACCCAGGGACACGAUACACUGCGGAAGGCUGCAGGGACCUCUGCCCAGGAAAGCCAGGAGCCAGAAAAACUUCAUCUCUUUUACAAGAAACAUUGAGAUUCCUGUAAAAUUAAGAAAUCACACAAUUUGAUGGUCUACAUUAUCUAAAGCAAAUGAGACUUCUAUUUGGAACAAAGACUACCUUGUUGGGAAAUGAGUCUGCAAGUUAAAGUGUUUUCUGGAUCCAGUAUCUGCCGGAGGAGCCCCACCUUCUGCUACUAUUAUGUUCUUCAGAUGAGUAGAAGAGAGUGGGGAGGGAGAGAGCAGGAAGAAGAAAGGAAGAAUAAUGUCUUGAAAUUGUUUUCUAAGGAUAAUGGUCUCCAGCUUCGUCAAUGUUCCUGCAAAGGACAUGAUGCUGACUUUGAAGAUGCAAGCUUCCACAUCUACAGCCUCAAGGAAACAAAUUCAGCCAACCAACUGAGGGAGCUUUCCUUGUCCUGCCUCAAGAUGAGAUCACAGUCUGCCCAACACCAUGAUUUAGGCCUUGUGACACCUGAGCUCAGAUGGAAAAGAAUGGUGUUACUGAGACCCUUCAAGAUUCCCAGUGUAAUUCAAUAAAGAAAAGGCAACACAAAGGGGUUGUAUAGAAUUCGCCACAUUAUGGACCCAUGUCAUAGAGAGAAUCCACGGUGCAUUUGUUAGCUGCAUUUAAAUGACAACACUUUCAGAUCCAAGAUUUAUUUGGGAUAAAAAUUUACCUGGAUGCAAGGCUAUUCAGAAUGAAGAUUAAUGAUAUGGUUUGGCUGUGUCCCCACCCAAACUUCAUCUUGAAUUCCCACGUGUUGUGAGAGGGACCUGGUGGGAGAUAAUUGAACCAUGGGGGCAGGUCUUUCUCAUGCUGUUCUCAUGAGAGUGAAUAAGUCUCAUGAAACCUGAUGGUUUUAUAAGGGGGAAUUUCCCUGCACAAGCUCUCUCUCUGCCUUUUGCCAUCCAUGUAAGACGUGACUUGGUCCUCCUUGCCUUCUACCAUGAUUAUGAGGCCUCCCCAGCCACGUGGAACUGUGAGUCCAUUAAACCUCUUUCUUUUGUAAA
rnacentral:lncRNA from 1 species